rnacentral:lncRNA from 1 species
CCAAAGAGCACCAGCUCUGGAGAGUACCAGAUGAUCCUCUAACACCCAACUCACCCCCUUGGGUGGGAUUUGGGACUGAGCUGAUUUAUGGCAUAGCACAGCAGGCUGUGCGGAGUGUGUUUAUUCAAAUAACAUCAAACUCUAUUCCACUUCUUCUUUAAUUAAAACACAAUUAGCGGGGCUGGCAGUUUUCUUACAUGUGCCCGGUCUUCUAUGAAAUUAAUAUUAAUCUCCGUGCAGUGUGUGAGCCCGUAAAGUGACACGUGGAAAGUUACACAUUCUUGACUCGGGAAAGGCAAACUGGAGGAUGACUUCAUGUUCCUGAGCGAGGAGAUCGGCACGCCAGAUGCGCCGAGUGCCUGACCCCUUUUAAAGGCUCUGUAAGGUCACACGAAACUUUAAAAAUGUCGUUUCAGGCGUGCGGAGGGAAGGAAGAGAGCCCAAAAAGCUUUAGGGUACUCAGUUUCCCGUUUGGUUUGGUUUGGGCAGUGUGAAUGGCUCAGUAACACGAAGCAGAGCUCUGGUCUCUGGUCUGGCUGCGUGUUUCCAAUAGACACCCUAAUGCCUUUCUCAUGGCCGGAAUGGUUAACGAUCUGUAUUUUCUUGCUAUUAAUUAGAAGCUGUGUUUCGUUUUCGGAUGAAGAGCGAGCCUCGCAGGGUAGCUGACAAGUUUGCAGUCCUUGCUCUGAGUCAGGCAUUGAAUUUUACUCAGUUGUUUUAUCUGGAGACAAAAGCAACAAACACCCCUUGCAGUAGAGCCACCCAGAGCUACCAGGUCAUAUGAGGAACAUCUCUGUUGAGCAUCUCCAGUGUCGACGACAACUCUUGCUCAGCACCUUCUGGACAUGGAAGUGAAGAGCUGUUUUGGACAGGAGCUGGUUCAAGCCUGUGGAUUCUGGGGUGUUUCUUCAUCCAUCUCUUUCCACCAUCAGUGCAGGAGCAGGUUGUUCCGGAAACCAGGCGCUGGGCUGCAAUUAACAGCACACAGAUUACCUUCGUGUGGAAAUCAACACGUGCCAACAGUAGCCGGUGUUCCUCUGAUUUUGGGAUAAAGAAAAGGGAUUUUUUGAUCCAGAGGUACUAUACGCGAUUUGUUGUAUUUUUCUUCCUCCUCCUGAUCCUUUUCUCACAGUUCUGUUCAGGUCUCUCCUCUAAUGCAGAAUGUCCCCCUCCCCAAAACACGAGAGCCCUGCAAACCUGCCAGCUGUGGCCGAGGAGGAUCAGAGAUCCUUAUUUUUGAAAAGGAAAAUAUGGCUGUUACCAUCUCAACUUCCCCCAGAGAAAGACGUGGGGAUUCAGAUUAAACCCCAUCUUUCCAGAAUUCACCCGUCAGUCUUCUGGUUUAGAAGCCCAUGAAUUACGGUGCUAAACAAAAAAGAUUGUUCUUUUCAGAGAAGCGGCAAUUGCCAAAAUGUCCACGUAGAAAAUGAGAAUAACAGUUUUAAUUGAGGCAUGUUUUUUUGUUUUAACGUACUCUCCGCUUCUUUGACUAGAAAAUGGCUACAUUACCUGGAAAAAUAUUUUUGUAUUGUGCUGCUUGAGGGGAAAGGAGCUAAUUAAAUUUGUAAAAGUGGAAAAUACUGUCUAAGAGGUCUUUGUGAGGCUGUGGUUCUGAGUGCUGGCGUCAGCUUUACUGCCAAUAUGUGCAGAUGGUAACAAAUGAGCUACCAUCAACCACCCUUUAUUGUCCCAGGGCCCCACUUGGCUCAUAAAUGUCUUCACCGGUUAUUAUUUCCAAUAUUUAGUGUUCAGUUUGUAAGUGCAGUGCUCCCAUUGAUGCUCUACCCCAAGCCAGGAGAGCGGGGUAAGUAAUGGCAGCUUCUUCAGCAGUUCUGGGUAUGGAGAGCCCUCUAACCAGGAGCAGAGAAGCUGCUGAGGACACACUGCAGCAGCCACAGGUGAACCAAGGUCAGCAAUGACACCGAGACCUCCACAGCUGACCUGCUUGCACAUAAAUAUGGCUUUCCAGCAAGAGCCUGGUCCUACUGGGACCUGUACAGCCCAGGGCCAAGACCAGGCAUGGACCAGAGGGUCUGGUUUUCAGGGCUGGUGGCUGUGCAGGGGGUUUGAGCAGGGUAA